AAAAGGUUAGUUAAAAUAAUAUUAGCAUGUCACGCUGAAGUUAGAGGCUCAUUCUUCUACCUUUUG
rnacentral:tRNA from 1 species